AACGCUGGCGGCGUGCUUAACACAUGCAAGUCGAGCGAAGCACCUAAGAAAGAUUCUUCGGAUGAAUUCUUUUGUGACUGAGCGGCGGACGGGUGAGUAACGCGUGGGUAACCUGCCUCAUACAGGGGGAUAACAGUUAGAAAUGACUGCUAAUACCGCAUAAGACCACGGUACCGCAUGGUACAGUGGUAAAAACUCCGGUGGUAUGAGAUGGACCCGCGUCUGAUUAGCUAGUUGGUGGGGUAACGGCCUACCAAGGCGACGAUCAGUAGCCGACCUGAGAGGGUGACCGGCCACAUUGGGACUGAGACACGGCCCAAACUCCUACGGGAGGCAGCAGUGGGGAAUAUUGCACAAUGGGGGAAACCCUGAUGCAGCGACGCCGCGUGAAGGAUGAAGUAUUUCGGUAUGUAAACUUCUAUCAGCAGGGAAGAAAAUGACGGUACCUGACUAAGAAGCCCCGGCUAACUACGUGCCAGCAGCCGCGGUAAUACGUAGGGGGCAAGCGUUAUCCGGAUUUACUGGGUGUAAAGGGAGCGUAGACGGCAUUGCAAGCCAGAUGUGAAAGCCCGGGGCUCAACCCCGGGACUGCAUUUGGAACUGUAGAGCUAGAGUGUCGGAGAGGCAAGUGGAAUUCCUAGUGUAGCGGUGAAAUGCGUAGAUAUUAGGAGGAACACCAGUGGCGAAGGCGGCUUGCUGGACGAUGACUGACGUUGAGGCUCGAAAGCGUGGGGAGCAAACAGGAUUAGAUACCCUGGUAGUCCACGCCGUAAACGAUGACUACUAGGUGUCGGGUAGCAAAGCUAUUCGGUGCCGCAGCAAACGCAAUAAGUAGUCCACCUGGGGAGUACGUUCGCAAGAAUGAAACUCAAAUGAAUU
rnacentral:rRNA from 1 species